CUUUCCUGAAAUUAACACAAACAACGUGAUUUAACCAUGUCUAUGUCAUGGAAGACUACUAAACCCAUUCUUCUUUUCUGGGCCAGGACAUGUACUUUAGCACAGUGCCGCCCUCUGAGGAGUGGCUAAUGAUUAAAACAUCCAGAUGAGGACACCUCAGCUCUAAACAGCCAAGGUUUUAACGCGAGUGGUGAGCCAUCCACUCACAGUCCUGAUUGGCUUUUUUCCCCCUGUGUUUACAUUUAAUCCUUAAAUUUUAUUCCAAUGGCUCCAAACUUCAAACUCUUCUCACUCAUUUGGCUAGUUGCAGCCUGUCUUGCCAUCCUUUCCUCAAGCAACAACUGAAGCUGAUGUGUGUCCAUCCACAGCACCUCAAGAAACAACAGCCGCUGAUGGUACACCAGUCCCACCAACUCAA